rnacentral:rRNA from 1 species
UACGAAGGGGGCUAGCGUUGUUCGGAUUUACUGGGCGUAAAGCGCACGUAGGCGGACAUUUAAGUCAGGGGUGAAAUCCCAGAGCUCAACUCUGGAACUGCCUUUGAUACUGGAUGUCUGGAGUAUGGAAGAGGUAAGUGGAAUUCCGAGUGUAGAGGUGAAAUUCGUAGAUAUUCGGAGGAACACCAGUAGCGAAGGCGGCUCUCUGGACUGUAACUGACGCUGAGGCACGAAAGCGUGGGGAGCAAACAGG